rnacentral:rRNA from 1 species
UGGCUCAGAGCGAACGCUAGCGGCGGGCUUAACACAUGCAAGUCGAGCGGAGGGUUUCGGCCCUCAGCGGCGAACGGGUGAGUAACACGUGGGUAACGUACCCUUUGGUGGGGAAUAACCUAGGGAAACCUGGGCUAAUACCGCAUAUGUCCUUCGGGAUGAAAGUCUUCGGACGCCAGGGGAUCGGCCUGCGGCCCAUUAUUUAAUCCUAGUUGGUAGGGUAACGGCCUACCAAGGGUACGAUGGGUAGCUGGUCUGAGAGGAUGAUCAGCCACACUGGAACUGAGACACGGUCCAGACUCCUACGGGAGGCAGCAGUGGGGAAUAUUGGACAAUGGGCGCAAGCCUGAUCCAGCCACGCCGCGUGGGUGAUGAAGGCCUUCGGGUUGUAAAGCCCUGUCGGAGGGGACGAAGUCUUCGGAUUGACGGUACCUUCCAAGAAAGCACCGGCUAACU